UACAGAGGGUGCGAGCGUUAAUCGGAAUUACUGGGCGUAAAGCGCACGUAGUCGGCUUUGCAAGUCGGUUGUGAAAUCCCCGGGCUCAACCUGGGAACUGCAUCCGAGACUGCAUUGCUAGAGUAUGGGAGAGGGAAGCGGAAUUUCUGGUGUAGCAGUGAAAUGCGUAGAUAUUGGGAAGAACACCUGAGGCGAAGGCGGGUUGCUGGGCUGAUACUGACGCUGAGGCGCGAAAGCCAGGGGAGCAAACGGG
rnacentral:rRNA from 1 species